rnacentral:rRNA from 1 species
GACAGAGGGUGCAAACGUUGUUCGGAAUUACUGGGCGUAAAGCGCACGUAGGCGGCUUGGCAAGUCGGAUGUGAAAUCCCUCGGCUCAACCAAGGAAGUGCAUCCGAAACUGCUGAGCUUGAGUACUUAAGAGGAUCGCGGAAUUCCCGGUGUAGAGGUGAAAUUCGUAGAUAUCGGGAGGAACACCGGUGGCGAAGGCGGCGUUCUGGACUGCAACUGACACUGAGGAACGAAAGCCAGGGGAGCAAACGGG